CCUACGGGAGGCAGCAGUGAGGAAUAUUGGUCAAUGGGCGCGAGCCUGAACCAGCCAAGUAGCGUGAAGGAUGACUGCCCUACGGGUUGUAAACUUCUUUUAUCAAGGAAUAAAGUGAGGCACGUGUGCCUUUUUGUGUGUACUUUAUGAAUAAGGAUCGGCUAACUCCGUGCCAGCAGCCGCGGUAAUACGGAGGAUCCGAGCGUUAUCCGGAUUUAUUGGGUUUAAAGGGAGCGUAGGGGGGUGGUUAAGUCAGUGGUGAAAGGUUGCGGCUCAACCGUCAAAGUGCAAUUGAUACUGGCAGCCUUGAGUACAGUAGAGGUAGGCGGAAUGCGUGGUGUAGCGGUGAAAUGCUUAGAUAUCACGAAGAACUCCGAUUGCGAAGGCAGCCUACUAACCUGCCACUGACAUUGAUGCUCGAAAGUGUGGGUAUCAAACAGGAUUAGAUACCCGAGUAGUC
rnacentral:rRNA from 1 species